rnacentral:rRNA from 1 species
GAUGAACGCUGGCGGCGUGCUUAACACAUGCAAGUCGAACGGUGAAGCAGGAGCUUGCUCUUGUGGAUCAGUGGCGAACGGGUGAGUAACACGUGAGCAACCUGCCCCUGACUCUGGGAUAAGCGCUGGAAACGGCGUCUAAUACUGGAUAUGUGAUGUGACCGCAUGGUCUGCAUCUGGAAAGAAUUUCGGUUGGGGAUGGGCUCGCGGCCUAUCAGCUUGUUGGUGAGGUAAUGGCUCACCAAGGCGUCGACGGGUAGCCGGCCUGAGAGGGUAACCGGCCACACUGGGACUGAGACACGGCCCUGACUCCUACGCGUGGCAGCAGUGGGGAAUAUUGCACAAUGGGCGGAAGCCUGAUGCAGCAACGCCGCGUGAGGGAUGACGGCCUUCGGGUUGUAAACCUCUUUUAGCAGGGAAGAAGCGAAAGUGACGGUACCUGCAGAAAAAGCACCGGCUAACUACGUGCCAGCCGCCGCCGUAA